rnacentral:tRNA from 1 species
GCGCCCGUAGCUCAGCUGGAUAGAGCACCAGACUACGAAUCUGGGGGUCGGGAGUUCGAAUCUCUCCGGGCGCACCA